rnacentral:rRNA from 1 species
AGAGUUUGAUCCUGGCUCAGAUUGAACGCUGGCGGCAUGCCUUACACACGCAAGUCGAACGGCAGCACGGGAGCAAUCCUGGUGGCGAGUGGCGAACGGGUGAGUAAUAUAUCGGAACGUACCUUUCAGUGGGGGAUAACGUAGCGAAAGUUACGCUAAUACCGCAUAUUCUGUGAGCAGGAAAGCAGGGGAUCGCAAGACCUUGCGCUGAUUGAGCGGCCGAUAUCAGAUUAGCUAGUUGGUGAGGUAAAGGCUCACCAAGGCGACGAUCUGUAGCGGGUCUGAGAGGAUGAUCCGCCACACUGGAACUGAGACACGGUCCAGACUCCUACGGGAGGCAGCAGUGGGGAAUUUUGGACAAUGGGGGCAACCCUGAUCCAGCCAUGCCGCGUGAGUGAAGAAGGCCUUCGGGUUGUAAAGCUCUUUCAGCCGGGAAGAAAUCACAUGGGUUAAUACCCUGUGUGGAUGACGGUACCGGAAUAAGAAGCACCGGCUAACUACGUGCCAGCAGCCGCGGUAA